UACGUAGGGGGCAAGCGUUGUUCGGAAUCAUUGGGCGUAAAGAGCGUGUAGGCGGCCCGGUAAGUCCGCUGUGAAAGUCCAGGGCUCAACCCUGGGAUGCCGGUGGAUACUGCCGUGACUUGAGUUCGGUAGGGGAUCACGGAAUUCCUGGUGUAGCGGUGAAAUGCGCAGAUAUCAGGAGGAACACCAGUGGCGAAGGCGGUGAUCUGGGCCGAUACUGACGCUGUAGAGCGAAAGCGUGGGGAGCGAACAGG
rnacentral:rRNA from 1 species